UGCCCCCUUCUCACUUUGCCAAUUGGACUUAUGUCUUAAUUGUCAUUCAAGUGGAGCAAAGGAAGUGUCCUUCUAAAACUCAGGCAAACUGGACAUUUAUCUUGUAUUUUGUCAGGGAAAACAUCG
ensembl:snoRNA